rnacentral:lncRNA from 1 species
UAAAGGUCCAUACACACCGGACGCGAUUCGACAACGCGGCGAGAUUUUUUUAGUUUUUGAAAGUUAAUAAAACAGCCAUGAUAGCAAAGUUUGAAACAUAUGUAUACACCAAAUAACUCAAAAUGUUAUAACGCUUCUAAAUAUUUGGAAAAUUUAAACUAGGAUCAAAGUUAUCUGUCAGUGAAAAUUGAAAAAUCGCGUCGCGUUGUCGAAUCGCGUUCGGUGUGUCCGGACCUUUAAGACUCCGCCCACAAAAUUAUAUUGGCGGAGUCUUAUAAUUUUCUAGAAAACAAUGAAAGGACAAUGGAAAUUCCGUCACUGGAUGGCAUUGGUUUGUGAUUUGCAAUUCAUUUGAAUUGAUUCGGUAAGGAUGUUUGUAGCGCGUUGUAAUUUAUAUUAGUUUUCUGCCUUCGUUUUCUGCUUUCUGAGGCAUUCAAAUUCUGACAAUAC